AAGUCGUAACAAGGUUUCCGUAGGUGAACCUGCGGAAGGAUCAUUACAAAUACGUUACUCACGUAUAAACCAAACAGUUGAACUGAAACGUCCGAUAGGAGAAGCUCUAGCUACUUGGUUUCGGCCAUUAGCUAGAUUGGGUGAAUGACCGGCGGCCUUGAGGUGGAUACACCAAAACAAUCAAACCAUUUGUGUUUGAAGGUGAUCAAAAGUGACCUCGGUCGGUCUUUUCCAAGUGCAAGCUUGGAAAGCCCUAUUUUUCCUAGUUCGCGUAUUUAUCCACAUACAAACACUUUGUUCAUCUUUUUCAACAUCAUUUAACCCCUUUCACCUAUUAUUAUCAACAAAUGAACUGAAAUCGAGCGACGAACUAACGUUUGUGGCUCUAGAUAUUUACGAAACUUAAGAACAACUCUUAACAACGGAUAUCUUGGCUCUC
rnacentral:misc_RNA from 1 species